rnacentral:rRNA from 1 species
UAGGGAAUCUUCCACAAUGGGCGCAAGCCUGAUGGAGCAACACCGCGUGAGUGAAGAAGGGUUCGGCUCGUAAAGCUCUGUUGUUAAAGAAGAACACGUAUGAGAGUAACUGUUCAUACGUUGACGGUAUUUAACCAGAAAGUCACGGCUAACUACGUGCCAG